GUUACUAAGCGGGACAAAGAAAGGCGAGCGCUGAGGCGGAGAGGGGGGACGGGGCUGAGGGGCUGCACGGGCGGCCGGGCCCCGCACUCCGGCCGGGGCAGGUCCGGGGCUGGGCCUGCGACCCCAGCUACAGCCGGCCCCACCGCUAGUGGUGGGGCAUCGACCCAUGCCCACACCACGGGGAGCCGCGUCCCCCCGGGCCGGUGUCCCGCAGCUACGCUGCAGCCAGGACCGGCCCCUCUUUUGAGAUGGGGUCUGAGGGACAGGCCCGGGAGGCCUUUUGCUGGUAGAGCCGUUGUCCCCGUCCCUGGCUGGGGCUUGGGCUGGCCGGCCCCGCUGCAGCACCUCGCAGCUGCCUGCCCUGCUGUUCUGCAGCCCGAAAUACGCGUUCUCCUCCACUGCCUGAGUUCUGCAGCACUAGGUAGACGGCUCCUGAAAACAUUCUCCUGUCUUAGGUGAACUGGAGGGUGAUGGCAACACUGAAUAACUGAAAUGCUAUACCCAGCGCACAAAGUCUGAGCAUCCAGUGACACGGCAGUGCCCUUGGAGAACAGAAACACAACCACGAGCACAUCGAGCGCUCAGGGAUGCUCAAGGUCUGGCAGAGCACUAGAUCAACGCGAGUCAGGACGUUCAAACACUGAAAUAAAACAACAGUGAUAAUGACAAUGCUUUACCAGGGGGCACAGUGCUCAAGAAAGGGUCCUGGUGAGGAGCAGCCCCUGCAGCCCUGCGCCAGCCGAGAGGCGAACACGGCGUCUGCUGCCUCCCCAGUGACAUCCCCCAUCGAUGGCCAUGCAUUUGCUCACUUUCAUUUCCUUGGAUCUGACAAUUUGCAUUUCAAGGCAAGAUUAAAUAUUGAAGUUUUGAGAGCUUCUAUGUGCUUCAGGAGGAGCCGAAUGCACCCGCGCUGGAACAGGCUGAACACAGAAAAGCCAUUUGUGCCAAACUGCUUGGUUUCCUCUUUGCCGAGCCAUGAUAAUGUGAUAUCCGACAGCUGAAUGUAGGCCACAACAGGCUUUUAUAGUUGGAGGGGUGGAGGAGGGAGGGGGGCUGAAUCCACCGUGCUGCCAGCCAAACGCACAAAAAUGAUGAGAGAUUUUUGGGGCAGACUGGAGACUCCUGGCUACUCCCGAGAUGCAAAUAUUGGCUUCACCAUUAGCACAAGCUCAGGGCCUGCUGGAGGGGAGCUUGUAGAAGGUAGAGCUGCAUUCUCAUCGGAACAGAUGACUCCCCAGCCGGCAGUAAAUGCUACACGAAAUUACUAGCCUUGCGCUGCACAGACACCAGGAUUUGUGGAGUAUCUGCCGUAAUUGGUGGCCAGCUUCCCAUGGGGGUGGCCACAUCUUGCAAGAAACUGUAUGAGAACAACCGGUCACAGCAGUUUGGUUUAGUUAACAGAUUAUUCCUGCCUGUUUCUCACCUCCUGGUGACGAGGAGUCGAGGGGAGGGUCAGCCUGCUUUGGCUCAGACGCUGCCUCUGGGGUCUCAGCGCUCCAAGCUCAACCUGGGGCUUGCUGGCAGGAGAAGAGGUGGUGGGGAAAGGCAAAGGUUCAUCCUGUCAUCCUGCACCAGCGCGGUGCUGGCAGCAUGGGAAAGGCACAAGAACCAUCUUUCCCUUGAGUUCUACAAUCUGAAUCUCAAAAAUACCCCAGGACCACAAAGCAUUUGCCUGAAUAUUAAGAGUAUUAACCCCUGCAUGGGCAAAGUAGCAGCAGUUUCCUUCCCUGGAUCCUCCUGCACUUUCAUGUGAAAUGUAAUGGGUGCUUUUAACCAGGAUUGUGCUAUCUCCUCUGUGCUUUAGAGUCAUUUUAUGUGUUAAGGGGCUGCAACACAGUUGCCUCGCUCCACCCCAGAUGCGGCCGCAUUUCUGUGGUGAGAAAGAACUCUGGCAAGUGUGCUGAAGUCGGGUGCCUUGGUUUGAAAAUUAUACAUUGCAUUAAAAACCUGUAUUAAAGAAUAAUAUGUGGUCUGCAAAAACAUUCAAGUGAAACACUUCGGUGUUAGGAAGUGUCUUAUUUACAGCUGUCAGAGCAGCUCAUGCCCUCUUCCCUUCUCUGUCCACACAACAAGCAAAGAGGUCAAAAUAGGGGCUCACGUACGCAAAGGUCGUAGCACAACGCAUGCACGGAGUUGGGCUUGCAAGGAAUCAUACAUGAGGCAUUUCCUAACUUAAAAGGACUUGGCUUUGCUCUGUAAACAAUGUUUUUUUAACAUAGGAAAUAACAACCAAAAAAACCCCUUUUCAAUAAAUGUCUACGACUUAGGUUAUUGCAGCUGGACCUGAGGUAUUCCUCAGCAAGGUUUGGACUGGCCUGUCCUCCCUGCUCCAGAGGUUUCUCCCCCCAAAAUUGCAGGAAUCACAGUUGGGG